GAUGAACGCUGGCGGCGUGCCUAAUACAUGCAAGUCGAGCGAACAGAUGAGGAGCUUGCUCCUCUGACGUUAGCGGCGGACGGGUGAGUAACACGUGGAUAACCUACCUAUAAGACUGGGAUAACUUCGGGAAACCGGAGCUAAUACCGGAUAAUAUCUUGAACCGCAUGGUUCAAUAGUGAAAGACGGUUUUGCUGUCACUUCUAGAUGGAUCCGCGCCGCAUUAGCUAGUUGUUAAGGUAAAGGCUUACCAAGGCAACGAGGCGUAGCCGACCUGCGAGGGUGAUCGGCCACACUGGAACUGAGACACGGUCCAGACUCCUACGGGAGGCAGCAGUAGGGAAUCUGACGCAAUGGGCGAAAGCCUGACGGAGCAACGCCGCGUGAGUGAUGAAGGUCUUCGGAUCGUAAAACUCUGUUAUUAGGGAAGAACAAAUGUGGAAGUAACUAUGCACGGCUUGACGGUACCUAAUCAGAAAGCCACGGCUAACUACGUG
rnacentral:rRNA from 1 species